rnacentral:rRNA from 1 species
UACGAAGGGGGCUAGCGUUGCUCGGAAUCACUGGGCGUAAAGGGUGCGUAGGCGGGUCUUUAAGUCAGGGGUGAAAUCCUGGAGCUCAACUCCAGAACUGCCUUUGAUACUGAGGAUCUUGAGUACGGGAGAGGUGAGUGGAACUGCGAGUGUAGAGGUGAAAUUCGUAGAUAUUCGCAAGAACACCAGUGGCGAGGGCGGCUCACUGGCCCGUAACUGACGCUGAGGCACGAAAGCGUGGGGAGCAAACAGG